rnacentral:rRNA from 1 species
UACGUAGGCAGCAAGCGUUGUUCGGAAUUACUGGGCGUAAAGAGUGCGUAGGCGGUUUGGCAAGUUUGGUGUGAAAUCCCCCGGCUUAACUGGGAGGGUGCGCCGAAAACUGCCAGGCUAGAGUGUGGGAGAGGAAAGUGGAAUUCCUGGUGUAGCGGUGAAAUGCGUAGAGAUGUGGAGGAACACCGAUGGCGAAGGCAGCCUCCUGGGCCAACACUGACGCUCAUGCACGAAAGCGUGGGGAGCAAACAGG